GUGCUCGCUUUGGCAACACAUAUACUAAAAUUGGAUUGAUACACAAAAGAUUAGCAUGGCCCCUGCACAAAGAUGACAUGUGAAUUCUUGAAGUGUUUCAUAUUUAA